rnacentral:tRNA from 1 species
UGGGGAUAUAACUCAGUUCGUAGAGUUCCUGCCUCACAUGCAUAAGGCCCUGGGUUCAAUCCCCAGUACCUAA